rnacentral:rRNA from 1 species
UACGAAGGGGGCUAGCGUUGCUCGGAAUCACUGGGCGUAAAGCGCGCGUAGGCGGAUCGUUAAGUCGGGGGUGAAAUCCUGGAGCUCAACUCCAGAACUGCCUUUGAUACUGGCGAUCUUGAGUCCGGGAGAGGUGAGUGGAACUCCGAGUGUAGAGGUGAAAUUCGUAGAUAUUCGGAAGAACACCAGUGGCGAAGGCGGCUCACUGGCCCGAUACUGACGCUGAGGUGCGAAAGCGUGGGGAGCAAACAGG